CCUGAUAAAAAAAAAAACUAACUGAGCCUGUGACGCAUGCGCGGUGCCGCACCCCUCUGACACUAACGCUUGAGGAAGUUGUUCACACACAGAGUCAGUCAUUCGUAUGCAGAGAGGAGGCAAGGACGCACGCAUGGCACCCAGUAGCACCAGACGUUCUCUUUCAAACCGAGGGCCUUCCCUUCUGCGGCUGGCUCUGGCUUGGACUGUGACCUUUUCUCUUACAGAGAGUUCUGAACUCAUUCGACUCAGUGGGGAGGUUGGUGGAAAUGUGACCUUUCGAUGCCCCUUUAAUAAUCAAAGGACAAUUCAAUUCUUCUACCUUCAACGUGAUAAUGUGUUCGUGAACGGCUACCAUGCAUUCAAAACAAUCUUUUCGGGCAAAUGGCCGAACACAAGACUGGAUGACAAAAGUACACAUGUGGACAUGUACGGGUUGAACAUCUCGCACACUGGGAGGUAUAAAUGCUUCAUUCUCUACACCGAUAAUGAGAACAUUGAGGAAAGCGAAAUCCAACUCAAUGUCACAGCCUCCUACAGCAAACCCAAUGUGACACAGUCCUGUGAUGAUGCCCGUUGUUUGGUGACGUGUGCCUUCUACGGCGGGUACCCAGGCAACAUGGUGGAGUGGAAAUUACAUGGGUCUAGAAAUAUCGACAAUCAGCUGUGGAACGUUGAGAACAACACUCAGGUGCACAGUCCAAGCACGAUGUUGGUCAACAGCAGCAGCAUUGUGUACUUCAGCUGCUCCCAUGGAGCGAUCAGGAAUCUCAGCUGCUCUGUGGGCAACGUUACCUCCGAAUGGUUCCCAGUGUGUGACCGUGAGUACCGACAGGGUAAACCCGAGGUUAAGCCUAACCCUCACAGUCUUAUCAUAAUAGCACCUGUUGUCUGUGGGUUAAUCCUGCUGGGAGCAGUUGUAUGGUUUUUUUAUCGACGCAAGAAAAGACAAACAGGUGAGGGACACUUUUAUGUUUUCCACUGCAGCUGUAUAAUUAUAUGCAACAACUAAUAACAGUUUCUGUUCUGGUUUCUUGGACAAGCUCGGAUAAAGGAUGGAAAUAAGGACGAGUUAAAAGACCUACAAGAAUAAGAGAAGGGACCAUUUUGAGUUUUUUUUGUUAUGGAUCGAAGGAAAAAGAAGUUUACGGAGCAAAGACGUCAUCUCAGAAUCUGAUGCUGGUACUCUGUGUCCCUGAACCGUUCAUUCACAUUUGUGGCUGAUUGUCUACUUACCAGCCAGAAAUGAUCAGUGGCUACUAGUCAGUGGCUGAAGGGAACUCGACCAGGGAACUAUUCAUGAAUAGUGUCAUUUUACAGUGCGUCAUUCAGAGAAUAGCUCAGUUCCCCAAAAAAGUUUUAUAAUGUGUAUGUGGUGAGAUUACUGAUAGAGUCUUUGAAGGAUACACUUCCCAGCAAUGUAAGCAGUUAAACUUAAAGCAACAGAGGGUGUGUUUUAAAAUAAAAGGGCUUUUUGAAUGUAACACUGACAUCUUUUUAUUUAUUUUUCAUUUUCAGGGUAUUUCAUUUUUAAUGCAGCACUUUAAAAUCCCUUUCCUUUCCCCCCUUUUUAAAUAGACUUUUUUAUUUAAUGUUGUCAGUAGAAACAUUUUACUCCUGCCAAGCUGCUACCUGUUUAUUUUUUUAUCAAUUCCCUCAUUUGUUUGUACUCUUUAAUUUGCUUUGUCCAUCAGAAAUGAUUUGUAGCAAAACCUUGGAAACAAAUGUAUUAUUCCCCAGAAAGUGAAUACCAGAAAACUCUUUGCACAUUCAUUUAUUUUCUGCAUUUUCAGCUUUAAAGUUUUCUGUGCUACAGUAAAUGCUAAAUGGCAAGUAUUAAAGCUCUUUUCUAGUCUUGAUGACCACUCAAAGCUCAGUAGAUUCCAGUAUUGGAGAAUUCCUAUUUAAUGUGCAAUGUUUAUUAUAAAUGAAAUUACCGUAGCCCUCACUAUUUAAAUAACGGUCUAUUUCCAAACUCAACUAUUUUACUCAGGCGAUUGUUUUCAUUUAAUAUUGAAGAAGGAAUUAAAGAGGUACUCUUUGUAAUAUUUAUUUUUCACAUAUGACAUGACCAUUUUUUUAUUCCUCCUUCCUACAAAGUACUGACUGGUCUCAUAUGGUUGCUCUCAUUUCUCAAAUCUGUAUGAAACACUUUUCUCUGGAUGCUGUUGUAACUUUGUUUUGUCUUGUUUGGCAUUAUAUUGAUAAAGUUGUAUAUACAUUGAAAUGUAAAAUAAAAAAAACUGUGUAACUUAA